rnacentral:rRNA from 1 species
GACGAACGCUGGCGGCGUGCCUAACACAUGCAAGUCGAACGGUAAGGCCCUUCGGGGUACACGAGUGGCGAACGGGUGAGUAACACGUGGGUGAUCUGCCCUGCACUUCGGGAUAACCCUGGGAAACUGGGUCUAAUACCGGAUAGGACCCUGGGAUGCAUGUACUGGGGUGGAAAGCUUUUGCGGUGUGGGAUGGGCCCGCGUCCUAUCAUCGUGUUGGUGGGGGGAUGGCCUACCAAGGCGACGACGGGUAGCCGGCCUGAGAGGGUGACCGGCCACACUGGGACUGUGGUACGGCCCAGACGCCUAUGGGGGGCAUCAGUGGGGAAUAUUGCACAAUGGGCGCAAGCCUGAUGCAGCGACGCAACGUGAGGGAUGACGGCCUUCGGGUUGUAAACCUCUUUCAGCACCGACGAAGCGCAAGUGACGGUAGGUGCAGAAGAAGGACCGGCCAACUACGUGCCAGCCGCCGCAGUAA